GAGCUGUACUCAAAGAUCUAAGACUUUUUCAAUGUACACAAAAGGCAUAUUUCUCUCAAAUAUUGUUCACAAAUCUGUCUAGAUCUAUCUAAAUCUGUUAAAUCUGUAAAGUAACACUGCACAUUUUAGAGUGUCCUUUUAUUGUGCAAUCAGCAUCCUAAUAUGCCACACCUGUGAGGUGGAUGGAUUAUCUCAGCAAAGGAGAAGUGCUCACUAACAGAUUUAGACAGAUUUGUGAACAAUAUUUGAGAGAACUUGGCCUUUUGUGUACAUAGAAAAAAAAAAAAAGUCUUAGAUCUUUGAGUUCAGCUC